rnacentral:rRNA from 1 species
CUGGCGCGUGCUUACACAUGCAAGUCGAACGAGAACGGUACUAGCUUGCUAGUAUGUCAGCUAAGUGGCGGACGGGUGAGUAAUGUAUAGUUAAUCUGCCCUUCAGAGGGGGAUAACUACUGGAAACGGUAGCUAAUACCCCAUAUACCUUCUUUCUUAAUGAGAGUUGGGAAAUGUCUUUUCGCUGAAGGAUGAGACUAUAUGGUAUCAGGUAGUUGGUGGGGUAAGAGCCCACCAAGCCAAUGACGCCUAGCUGGUCUGAGAGGAUGAUCAGCCACACUGGAACUGAGACACGGUCCAGACUCCUACGGGAGGCAGCAGUGGGGAAUAUUGCACAAUGGAGGAAACUCUGAUGCAGCAACGCCGCGUGGAGGAUGACACAUUUCGGUGCGUAAACUCCUUUUAUAUGGGAAGAUAAUGACNGUACCAUAUGAAUAANCACCGGCUAA